rnacentral:rRNA from 1 species
UACAGAGGUCCCAAGCGUUGUUCGGAUUCACUGGGCGUAAAGGGUGCGUAGGCGGUCGGGUAAGUCUGAUGUGAAAUCUCACAGCUUAACUGUGAAACUGCAUUGGAUACUAUUCGGCUUGAGAGUUGGAGGGGGGAGUGGAAUUCUUGGUGUAGCAGUGAAAUGCGUAGAUAUCAAGAGGAACACCAGUGGCGAAGGCGAGUCCCUGGACAACUUCUGACGCUGAGGCACGAAAGCUAGGGGAGCAAACAGG